rnacentral:rRNA from 1 species
UAGGGAAUCUUCGGCAAUGGACGGAAGUCUGACCGAGCAACGCCGCGUGAGUGAAGAAGGUUUUCGGAUCGUAAAGCUCUGUUGUAAGAGAAGAGCGAGUGUGAGAGUGGAAAGUUCACACUGUGACGGUAUCUUACCAGAAAGGGACGGCUAACUACGUGCCAGCAGCCGCGGUAAUACGUAGGUCCCGAGCGUUGUCCGGAUUUAUUGGGCGUAAAGCGAGCGCAGGCGGUUAGAUAAGUCUGAAGUUAAAGGCUGUGGCUUAACCAUAGUAGGCUUUGGAAACUGUUUAACUUGAGUGCAAGAGGGGAGAGUGGAAUUCCAUGUGUAGCGGUGAAAUGCGUAGAUAUAUGGAGGAACACCGGUGGCGAAAGCGGCUCUCUGGCUUGUAACUGACGCUGAGGCUCGAAAGCGUGGGGAGCAAACAGGAUUAGAUACCCUGGUAGUCCACGCCGUAACGAUGAGUGCUAGGUGUUAGACCCUUUCCGGGGUUUAGUGCCGUAGCUAACGCAUUAAGCACUCCGCCUGGGGAGUACGACCGCAAGGUU